AUGGGCACUAAGGUGCAGAUGAGC
rnacentral:siRNA from 1 species